rnacentral:rRNA from 1 species
AGAAUCAACGCUGGCGGCGUGCCUAACACAUGCAAGUCGAACGAGAAAGUGGAGCAAUCCAUGAGUAAAGUGGCGCACGGGUGAGUAACACGUGACUAACCUACCCUUGAGUGGGGGAUAACCUAGAGAAAUCUGGGCUAAUACCGCAUAAUACCUUCGGGUCAAAGGAGCAAUUCGCUUAAGGAGGGGGUCGCGGCCGAUUAGUUAGUUGGCGGGGUAAUGGCCCACCAAGACGAUGAUCGGUAU